rnacentral:rRNA from 1 species
UACGAAGGGUGCAAACGUUGCUCGGAAUUAUUGGGCGUAAAGCGCACGUAGGCGGCUUAGCAAGUCGGAUGUGAAAUCCCUCGGCUCAACCAAGGAAGUGCAUCCGAAACUGCUGAGCUUGAGUACGAAAGAGGAUCGCGGAAUUCCCGGUGUAGAGGUGAAAUUCGUAGAUAUCGGGAGGAACACCGGUGGCGAAGGCGGCGACCUGGGUAGAUACUGACGCUGAGGUGCGAAAGCGUGGGGAGCAAACAGG